rnacentral:lncRNA from 1 species
GGCGAGGUAGCCAUUGGAGAAGGCAAAGGCAGCCAUGAAGGCGAUGAACCAGGCGUCAUGCUUAAAGACGAAGUGGUGCCGCUGUGCGCCGCAGUGGCGUGCCUUCACGUUGCAGAGCAUCAGCAGGGGAACAAACACAAUCCUCGAGGCGACCAAAACCGGCAGCCAGCGGCUAUCCUGGCCAGGCUGCGGACACAGGCAAGGCUUCAGCGCGUAUGUCAGUCCUCCUGGUCUCCUGGGGCCCCUGGGGACUUGGAUAAAACCACUAGGCCUGGGUGCCUUUGUGGGUGCUGAUUGCUAGGGGCGCAGUGGUGCCUAUGAUAUGUCGAGAUGUAUCUUUCCAUCUAGGUGGGAGCCAUGACAUGCACACCUCUGCCAGGCUACACACCUAAGAACUGUACGCGUGGGCCAGGAAUGGCUCAAUAGUUAAAGAGUCCUGCUCUUGCAGAAGACCCAGGUUUAGUCUCCAGUCCUCACAAGCUCCUCUAACUCCAGCUCCAGGGGAUCUGGUGCCCUCUUCUGGCCUCUGUGGGCAUUGCAUUCACAUGCACACACACAUAAUUUGAAAGUCUUAGCUGGGUCAUGGUGGCACAUGCACUUGGGAAGCAGGGAGUAAAGAGAUCUGAGUUCCAGGUCAGCCUGAUCAGAAAGGGAAGUGGUAUAAGGUAGAAACAGCAAAAGGAGAAAGAAGGGUGAGGAAGGGUAGGCAGGACACCCCGGGCCCACGUACACUCUUAAGUAUGGCUUUGAUAGACUGGUUUCUGUUGGUGGGUGGAGAGUUGGGGCCUGGCACCCCAGAUUCCUCUCUUCUUCCUUUUG